AUAAAGGCGUUGACGGAGAGAAACUUAUUGAGGGUUAUUUACAGAGAGUUGGGAAUGGUGAGAACCAACAAUAAACAGAUAAGAGAUAUACACUCCUGAGCUGAUUUGCUGAACGUGAAUUCAAGUAGGUAAAUCCGAAGGCCCAUCGUUAUCGGGGCUAGGACUGUUAGGUCUGAUUGAGUGAUGACUUUGUCAUAAUUAGGGUGGUACCGCGCGGAUUAUAUCCUUCGUCCCUAUA
rnacentral:ncRNA from 1 species